CCUACGGGUGGCAGCAGUGGGGAAUAUUGCACAAUGGGGGAAACCCUGAUGCAGCGACGCCGCGUGAGUGAAGAAGUAUUUCGGUAUGUAAAGCUCUAUCAGCAGGGAAGAAAAUGACGGUACCUGAUUAAGAAGCCCCGGCUAACUACGUGCCAGCAGCCGCGGUAAUACGUAGGGGGCAAGCGUUAUCCGUUUUUACGGGUUGGAACGGGAGCGUAGACGGCAGCACAAGUCUGAAGUGAAAUGCCGGGGCUUAACCCCGGAACGGCUUUGGAAACUGUGCAGCUAGAGUGCAGGAGAGGAAAGUGGAAGUCCAAGUGUAGCGGUGAAAUGCGUAGAGAUUAGGAGGAACACCAGUGGCGAAGGCGGCUUACUGGACUGUAACUGACGUUGAGGCUCGAAAGCGUGGGGAUCAAACAGGAUUAGAUACCCUUGUAGUC
rnacentral:rRNA from 1 species